UCAUGGCUCAGGAUGAACGCUAGCGGCAGGGCUUAACACAUGCAAGUCGAGGGGUAUUGGUUUUCGGACCGAGAGACCGGCGCACGGGUGCGUAACGCGUAUGCAAUCUACCUUUCACAGAGGGAUAGCCCAGAGAAAAUUUGGAUUAAUACCUCAUAGUAUAGCAGUUUCGCAUGAAACCACUAUUAAAGUCACAACGGCAAAAGAUGAGCAUGCGUCCCAUUAGCUUGUUGGUAAGGUAACGGCUUACCAAGGCAACGAUGGGUAGGGGUCCUGAGAGGGAGAUCCCCCACACUGGUACUGAGACACGGACCAGACUCCUACGGGAGGCAGCAGUGAGGAAUAUUGGACAAUGGGCGCAAGCCUGAUCCAGCCAUGCCGCGUGCAGGAUGACGGUCCUAUGGAUUGUAAACUGCUUUGUACAGGAAGAAACACUGGUUCGUGAACCAGCUUGACGGUACUGUAAGAAUAAGGAUCGGCUAACUCCGUG
rnacentral:rRNA from 1 species